rnacentral:rRNA from 1 species
GAUGAACGCUGGCGGCGUGCCUAAUACAUGCAAGUCGAGCGAACGGACGAGAAGCUUGCUUCUCUGAUGUUAGCGGCGGACGGGUGAGUAACACGUGGAUAACCUACCUAUAAGACUGGGAUAACUUCGGGAAACCGGAGCUAAUACCGGAUAAUAUUUUGAACCGCAUGGUUCAAAAGUGAAAGACGGUCUUGCUGUCACUUAUAGAUGGAUCCGCGCUGCAUUAGCUAGUUGGUAAGGUAACGGCUUACCAAGGCAACGAUGCAUAGCCGACCUGAGAGGGUGAUCGGCCACACUGGAACUGAGACACGGUCCAGACUCCUACGGGAGGCGGCAGUAGGGAAUCUUCCGCAAUGGGCGAAAGCCUGACGGAGCAACGCCGCGUGAGUGAUGAAGGUCUUCGGAUCGUAAAACUCUGUUAUUAGGGAAGAACAUAUGUGUAAGUAACUGUGCACAUCUUGACGGUACCUAAUCAGAAAGCCACGGCUAACUACGUGCCAGCAGCCGCGGUAAUACGUAGGUGGCAAGCGUUAUCCGGAAUUAUUGGGCGUAAAGCGCGCGUAGGCGGCUUUUUAAGUCUGAUGUGAAAGCCCACGGCUCAACCGUGGAGGGUCAUUGGAAACUGGAAAACUUGAGUGCAGAAGAGGAAAGUGGAAUUCCAUGUGUAGCGGUGAAAUGCGCAGAGAUAUGGAGGAACACCAGUGGCGAAGGCGACUUUCUGGUCUGUAACUGACGCUGAUGUGCGAAAGCGUGGGGAUCAAACAGGAUUAGAUACCCUGGUAGUCCACGCCGUAAACGAUGAGUGCUAAGUGUUAGGGGGUUUCCGCCCCUUAGUGCUGCAGCUAACGCAUUAAGCACUCCGCCUGGGGAGUACGACCGCAAGGUUGAAACUCAAAGGAAUUGACGGGGACCCGCACAAGCGGUGGAGCGUGUGGUUUAAUUCGAAGCAACGCGAAGAACCUUACCAAAUCUUGACAUCCUUUGACAACUCUAGAGAUAGAGCUUUCCCCUUCGGGGGACAAAGUGACAGGUGGUGCAUGGUUGUCGUCAGCUCGUGUCGUGAGAUGUUGGGUUAAGUCCCGCAACGAGCGCAACCCUUAAGCUUAGUUGCCAUCAUUAAGUUGGGCACUCUAAGUUGACUGCCGGUGACAAACCGGAGGAAGGUGGGGAUGACGUCAAAUCAUCAUGCCCCUUAUGAUUUGGGCUACACACGUGCUACAAUGGACAAUACAAAGGGCAGCGAAACCGUGAGGUCAAGCAAAUCCCAUAAAGUUGUUCUCAGUUCGGAUUGUAGUCUGCAACUCGACUACAUGAAGCUGGAAUCGCUAGUAAUCGUAGAUCAGCAUGCUACGGUGAAUACGUUCCCGGGUCU